GUUGAACUCGGUUACUGGUCACGCAUAAA
rnacentral:sRNA from 1 species